GUAGAUUAUAACUGAUGUCUGAAGCUAAAAUAUUUAGUGGGCCCUUUGAAUCAUUUAAUCUCUAUAAAACAGUGCAGUAUCAACAGUUAUAACAAGAUAGUCACUCUGUGAUCACUAUAAGUAUCUUCCUUUAAGUUUGCACCUAACUUUGCACUAUGUAACGUGAACAAAUUGUUCUGAAAAGGAGCCAAAGAGGGAGGACAGGAAUGAAGGCUUUCCCCUGAAUGGGAAGAUAAGUGCUCACUGUUGGAGGUGGGCAAAGCAUGGUCAAAAAUGGCUGGGGGGAACGUCACAAGUGUCUUUAACAGGUCUCAAGGGAUGGAGAAAAAGAUGUAGAUAGCAGAACAACCCUAUCCCUGCACCCCAGCACAUAACAGCGUGGAAUGGUGGAAGAGUGCCCAGGCAGCCUCUGAAUGAACAGUAAUGCCUUGAAUAACAACACAUCAAAGCUAUCAGAAGGAAAAAAAAAGGAGGCUGUGCUUAGCUGCCCUAUGGCCAGAAACUGCUGCUGGAAGGAAAGAUGCAGUACUUCAAAAGCAUGUGGACAAUCCCUUUGUAUAAAAUGGCCAGCACGGUAAAACACAGCAAAGU
rnacentral:lncRNA from 1 species